rnacentral:rRNA from 1 species
UGUUGUGAAAUGUUGGGUUAAGUCCCGCAACGAGCGCAACCCUUAUCCUUUGUUGCCAGCGGUCCGGCCGGGAACUCAAAGGAGACUGCCAGUGAUAAACUGGAGGAAGGUGGGGAUGACGUCAAGUCAUCAUGGCCCUUACGACCAGGGCUACACACGUGCUACAAUGGCGCAUACAAAGAGAAGCGACCUCGCGAGAGCAAGCGGACCUCAUAAAGUGCGUCGUAGUCCGGAUUGGAGUCUGCAACUCGACUCCAUGAAGUCGGAAUCGCUAGUAAUCGUGGAUCAGAAUGCCACGGUGAAUACGUUCCCGGGCCUUGUACACACCGCCCGUCACACCAUGGGAGUGGGUUGCAAAAGAAGUAGGUAGCUUAACCUUCGGGAGGGCGCUUACCACUUUGUGAUUCAUGACUGGGGUGAAGUCGUAACAAGGUAACCGUAGGGGAACCUGCGGUUGGA